ensembl:lncRNA
UUUUAUAACCUCAUCUGAUUGGUCAGAAGGUUAAUUUUCUAUUACCUCAUCUGAUUGGUCAGAAGGUUAAUUUUCUAUUACAUCAUCUGAUUGGUCAGAAGGUUAAUUUUUAUAACCUCAUCUGAUUGGUCAGAAGGUUAAUUUUCUAUUACAUCAUCUGAUUGGUCAGAAGGUUAAUUUUCUAUUACAUCAUCUGAUUGGUCAGAAGGUUAAUUUUCUAUAACAUCAUCUGAUUGGUCAGAAGGUUAAUUUUUAUAACCUCAUCUGAUUGGUCAGAAGGUUAAUUUUCUAUUACAUCAUCUGAUUGGUCAGAAGGUUAAUUUU